rnacentral:tRNA from 1 species
GAAAAAUUAGUUAAAACAUAACAUGAAGUUGUCAACUUCAAAUUACUAAACUAAUAGUAUUUUUUU